rnacentral:lncRNA from 1 species
UGCUGCUGUCCUAGUUUGAAGGUCAUGGAGCUGGAGACCCGGGGAGGAACCAUUUGAACAGCAGCACUGGCCCCUCCCCGGGUCUCAGGCUCCACGACCCUCAGACUUAAAAAGCCGUAGUACGGGCUUCUCCCUGGGUCUCCAUCUCUACAACCCUCAGACAUGAACAGCAGCAGCACCGCCCCCUCCCCCUGUCUCCAGUUCCACGAACCUCAAACUACAACAGCAGUACCGGCCUCUCCCCAGGUCUCCAGAUCCACGACCCUCAAAAUAGAAUGGCAUCACCGGCUCCUCCCUGGGUCUCCAGCUCCCAAACUCUCAAACUUCAAUUGACACACCGGACCCUCCCCACAGUUAAACAGCAGCACGGGCUGUUCCCCAAAGCUCCAGAUCCACGACCCUCUGACUUAAAGGGCGAUAGCACCAACUCCUCCCUAAGUCUCCAGUUCCACGACCCUCAAACUACACAGCAGCACCGGCUCCUCCUUGGGUCUCCAGCUUCACUACACUCAGACUAGAAUAGCAACACCGGUUCCUCCCUGGAACUCCAGCUCAAUGACUCUCAGACUUGAAAGGCAGCACCAGCUCCUCAAAAAGGUCUGCAGCUUCCAGUCCCUCAAAUAACAACAUUGCUCCUCCCUGGAUCUGCAGCUCCACGACCCUCAGACUAGAACACGAUCUGUCCUCCCUGGGUCACCAGCUUCCGAACCUUCGAACUAAAACAACAUUGCUCCUCCCUGGGUCUGCAGCUCCACGACCCUCAAACUAAAACAAGAUCUCUCCUCCCUGGGUCUGCAGCUCCACGACCCUCAAACUAAAACAAGAUCUCUCCUCCCUGUGUCAUCAGCUUCCAGUCCCUCAAAUAACAACAUUGCUCCUCCCUGGGUCUGCAGCUCCACGACCCUCAAACUAAAACAAGACCUCUCCUCUCUAGGUCUGCAGCUUCCAGUCCCUCAAAUAACAACAUUGCUCCUCCCUGGAUCUGCAGCUCCAUGACUCUCAGACUACAACAAGAUCUCUCCUCCCUGGGUCACCAGCUUCCGGACCCUCGAACUACGAAAACAUUGCUCCUCCCUGGGUCUCCAGCUCCAUGACCCUCAAACUAAAACAAGAUCUCUCCUCCCUGUGUCAUCAGCUUCCAGUCCCUCAAAUAACAACAUUGCUCCUCCCUGGGUCUGCAGCUCCACGACCCUUAAACUAGAACAAGACCUCUCCUCACUGUGUCGCCAGCUUCCGGACCCUUGAACUAUGAAAACAUUGCUCCUCCCUGGGUCCGCAGCUCCACGACCCUCAAACUAAAACAAGAUCUCUCCUCCCUAGGUCUGCAGCUUCCAGUCCCUCAAAUAACAACAUUGCUCCUCCCUGGAUCUGCAGCUCCACGACCCUCAGACUAGAACAAGACCUCUCCUCCCUGAGUCACCAGCUUCCGAACCUUCGAACUAAAACAACAUUGCUCCUCCCUGGGUCCGCAGCUCCAUGACCCUCAAACUAGAACAAGACCUCUCCUCCCUAGGUCUGCAGCUUCCAGUCCCCAAAUAACAACAUUGCUCCUCCCUGGAUCUGCAGCUCCACGACCCUCAGACUAGAACAAGAUCUCUCCUCCCUGGGUCACCAGCUUCCGGACCCUGGAACUACAAAAACAUUGCUCCUCCCUGGGUCUGCAGCUCCACAACCCUCAAACUAAAACAAGAUCUCUCCUCCCUGUGUUGCCAGCUUCCGGACCCUCGAACUAUGACAACAUUGCUCCUCCCUGGGUCUGCAGCUCCACGACCCUCAAAGCAGAUCAAGAUCUCUCCUUCCUGUGUCAUCAGCUUCCUGACCCUUGAACUAUGACAACAUUGCUCCUCCCUGGGUCUGCAGCUCCAUGACUCUCAAACUAGAACAGCAGCACCAGCUCCUUCCUGGACCUCCAGGUCAAUGACUCUCAGACUUCAAAGGCAGCAGCAGCUCCACCCCCAGGCUCCAGCUCUAAAACCCUCAGAUGUGAGCAGUGGCAGCACCAGCUCCUUUCUGCGUCUCCGGCUUCAUGAUCCUUAAAUUAGAACAGCAGCGCCAUCUUCUCCCUGCGUCUCCAGCUCCAGGAACCUCAAACUGCAACAGGAGCACCUGUUCCUCUGGGAUUUUCACCUCCACGACCCUGAGGUGUCAGUGGCAGCACUGGCUCCUCCCCUGGGCUGCAGCUCCAGAACCCUCAAGAAUAAUCCCUUCUCAUGAAAUGUAGCAGUCAGGAAAACUGCAGAGGAA